AUACGGAGGGGGCUAACGUUGCUCGGAAUUACUGGGCGUAAAGGGCGUGUAGGCGGGACAUCAAGUUAGGCGUGAAAGCCCCGGGCUCAACCCGGGAACUGCGCUUGAUACUGGUGACCUAGAGUCCGGGAGAGGGUGGUGGAAUUCCCAGUGUAGAGGUGAAAUUCGUAGAUAUUGGGAAGAACACCGGUGGCGAAGGCGGCCACCUGGACCGGUACUGACGCUGAGGCGCGAAAGCGUGGGGAGCAAACAGGAUUAGAAACCCGGGUAGUCC
rnacentral:rRNA from 1 species